rnacentral:rRNA from 1 species
UACGGAGGGGACUAGCGUUGUUCGGAAUUACUGGGCGUAAAGCGCACGUAGGCGGAUUUGUAAGUCAGGGGUGAAAUCCCGGGGCUCAACCUCGGAACUGCCUUUGAUACUGCAAAUCUCGAGUCCGGAAGAGGUGAGUGGAAUUCCUAGUGUAGAGGUGAAAUUCGUAGAUAUUAGGAAGAACACCAGUGGCGAAGGCGGCCUCACUGGUCCGGUACUGACGCUGAGG